AGGCAGCAGUAGGGAGUUUUCGGCAAUGGGGGAAACCCUGACCGAGCAACGCCGCGUGAGUGAUGAAGGUCUUCGGAUUGUAAAGCUCUGUUACAGGGGACGAAUGGUCAGCCUAGGAAAUGAGGUUGGCUCGACGGUACCCUGCCAGAAAGUGACGGCUAACUAC
rnacentral:rRNA from 1 species